GAUGAACGCUAGCGGCAGGCUUAACACAUGCAAGUCGAGGGGUAUUAGUUUUCGGACUAAGAGACCGGCGCACGGGUGCGUAACGCGUAUGCAAUCUGCCUUUCACAGAGGGAUAGCCCAGAGAAAUUUGGAUUAAUACCUCAUAGUAUUAUAGACUGGCAUCGGUUUAUAAGUAAAGUCACAACGGUGAAAGAUGAGCAUGCGUCCCAUUAGCUAGUUGGUAAGGUAACGGCUUACCAAGGCGACGAUGGGUAGGGGUCCUGAGAGGGAGAUCCCCCACACUGGUACUGAGACACGGACCAGACUCCUACGGGAGGCAGCAGUGAGGAAUAUUGGUCAAUGGACGCAAGUCUGAACCAGCCAUGCCGCGUGCAGGAUGACGGUCCUAUGGAUUGUAAACUGCUUUUGUACGAGAAGAAACACUCCUACGUGUAGGAGCUUGACGGUAUCGUAAGAAUAAGGAUCGGCUAACUCCGUGCCAGCAGCCGCAGUAAUAC
rnacentral:rRNA from 1 species